rnacentral:lncRNA from 1 species
CAACAAUAUUAACAACAAAAGUAGACUGAAACAACAUGAAUCACAAUUAACUGAAUCGAAAUGCAAACUGAAAUCAUAUGAUGAACAACAAAGAGCAGGAAACCAAACAAUACACAAAACGAAACCAUUUGAACCAAUAGCAAUAACAAACAUUUAUGGGAAUAGCCACAGUUUUAUACAAGACUGAUUGAACUUCCUAACUUGAAAUAUGCAACGAUACAAAGAAGAAGAAAAAUCAGAAUAAACCAAACAUUUAAUUUUGCACGAAACGAGAAUUGAGCAGAAGAUGAACUAAAGCUAACAACAACACAAAAUAGACCGGAAUCGUACCAUAUUAAAGGGAUUGGGUUCGAAUGGAAACCUCGACGCACCGCAACUCGACGACCUUGACUGCGUAUGAACUGUUUCGACAACCCCGACCAAAUCUCGAACAAACGAGAUAGUUGGGUCUCAUUUUGGACUGGAGGUGACGGGCUCCGGCGACACUACUGGACGACGACACAUUGUCGUGGUGGAGCUGGGUGUUGAAGGAGACGACGAAGAGUGGGGUGUGGUUGUUGUCCGCCGGACGAAGCAGAAUCCGAUGGGGUUCGUUUGGACGUGAACUGAGUGGUCAUUUGGGCGGAGAAGAUGAAGCAACCCCAACGCCCAUGGCUGGAGCUCGACGAAGCAAGAGGCUGGGUGAUGGUGGUCUUUUGAAGACGAAGCAGAAGGCAAGGUGCUAGGGUCUCGAGGGUGUUGUAGAAAACGAUGCAGCGACAGCGGGGUUGUUCAUGGCUGGUCGCUGGUUGAAGAUGUGAGUUGAGUGGUCGUUUGAGAAGAUGAAGGUGAAGGGGCAGCCAUUGUCGAGCUUGAGCUAGACAUGGAGAAAACGAAGCUGAAGGGGAGGUCGUUCAUGGCUUGGGGGGUCGACGACUGUGUGUGUGCAUGCGUGUGUGUUGAAGGAGAAGAGGAGGCAGCCAUGGCUGGGAGCUUGGAAGGGUUGUUCAUGGUGAGGGUGAAAAGAGAGAGGGAGGGGGGGG